rnacentral:rRNA from 1 species
UACGUAGGGUGCAAGCGUUGUCCGGAAUCAUUGGGCGUAAAGCGCGCGUAGGUGGCUUCGUAAGUCCGUUGUGAAAGUCAAAGGCUCAACCUUUGAAUGCCGAUGGAUACUGCGAAGCUAGAGUACGGAAGAGGCGAGUGGAAUUCCUGGUGUAGCGGUGGAAUGCGCAGAUAUCAGGAGGAACACCAAUAGCGAAGGCAGCUCGCUGGGACGUUACUGACACUAAGGCGCGGAAGCGUGGGGAGCGAACAGG